UAAAACCAAAACCACACAAACUGGCCUCCAUUUUUGUAACUCGAGAGCUUCGGUGAGAUGAAGGAGAGGAGCAGGGAGAUGGGCUUGAGUCCGCCAACGGCGGAAGAGAUCUUCAGGUAUUAUAGUGCUCCGAGAACCAAUGUCGUCCACUCCUUAACUAGCGUUAUGUAGCUCAGACCAUCACGAUUCACCAUUGUCACCCCAUCAUUGCCGUCGCGACCACCGCGGCCACAUCACCGCCGUCGAAAACACUACCAUACCAUCAUCCUGCAAAAGCUUAGAGAGAGAAAAUAUAACCAUACCUGUGUGGUUGCUCUUCAAAUUGGUGCAUUAUCAAUGAAUGGAUCACGUCAGAUCGUGUCAAAGGCUGGGCAUCCAGCUGCUUUGCCCCUCUCCAUCUGAUGUUGCCCCCUUGGCAGUUCUAUCACUACUGUGAAAGGGCUGGAGCUUUUUGGCGUCAAACUUAGUGAUGCUUCAAAGAAAUUGGGGAAAACAUUUGCUAGGUAUGAUGGAUAUUAUAUUGUUUUGUCAGUAUGCGAUGAUAGGAAAUUUCCUCAACCAAUCUCAAUCCUUUGCAGUCCUUUGGUAUCAAGGUGUUUUUUUUUUUUAAUCUUGCGCGCUAUGUGCAAUUACAUAUGUGUGAGAGACUUUUUAAAUUAGAUGCACUACGUGCUUCUUACGGAUUUUAUAAUGUCAUAUUCUCAUUCGGUUGCUGUUUUAAAUUUGGGCUUUCAUUUGGUUGAGCAUCCUUCUCUCCAAAAGGUAACAUUGUUUCUAAUGCCUAAUCAAAUUUUGAUUUCUUAGGUCAUUACAAUUUAUGUAGUUUUGUGAAGAGAAAUUGUUUACAAGCGCAAACAACUGCCAGAUUUUAUUUUGAAGUCUUAAUAUGCCUAUAGAACCAUAUAAUUAUGGGAGCGAACCAGUUCGCUGAUCAAAGACGUUAAGGCUGCUCUCAUUGAUGCAAUUGGGACAUUGAGGCUGUUCAGAAGGAAUUGAGGAGGAGAGGGAAGGUUUUGGCGUCGAAAAAGUCAUCUCAGAUGGCUGUUGAGGGCUUUCUGGCUCUGGCUCAGAAUGAGAACAAGACUGCUAUUAUUGAACAUAACUGUAAGACUGACUUUGUUGCUCGAUAUAUUUCAAUACUUGGUAAGUGUGACUGAUAUCAUUCCUCCUUAUUUUUUUUUUGUUCUAUUUGGUUAGUUGCUAUUAUAAGUAUAUGGUUGCGUACUUAAUUUCAGUCGUCCUUUUUUCCCCUUAUUUCUUCUUCCUCUGCUUCGCUUUUGCUGCUGCUUCUUCUUCUUCUUCUUCCCCCUUUUGGUUCCCCCUCUCUUGCUUUAUUUCUUCUGAUAUUUUCUCUCUUUCUUGAUCUCUUCAAAAUCGCACAACAGUCUUUGGAGUUGGAGGCUUUUGCUCUGUUGGGUUUGUUUCCAAUAACUCAAAGGGCCGAAAGGUAUUCCCUUUUCAUAUUCUUCUCUCCCAAUUUCUUUAGGGUUAAUUUCAAUUUUCUUAUGCUAUUUGCAGUGGUGCUUUUUAGGGUUUAACUAUUUGAUUUCACAGAUUCAUUACAGACAUAGUAAAUAGGUAUGUCACUAUGGAAGAACUAGAGCAAGUCCUCCACGAAUACGGCUUACAUGGUGAAUUUUAAUCUUUCCAGUCCAGUCGUGCAGAAGACAUCUUCAUUAACCGGUAACAGAUGAAAUAAUUUGAUGUCGAGUUUCCCGUGUAGAAAGGCGAAAAUGCUACAAGUGGAGGAUAGAUAACAACUCAAGACACAUGGUAUGAGGGUGCAGGUAAACUGUACAUAUGCAUCUGGAAAAAGUUAACAGUUUUGUAUUCGAUUUUUUAUGUUUUUCCAGUGUAAGGCAUAUGUUGCAUAAGCAUGUAAAUGGUACAAAUUAUUUGGUUUUGGAUAGUAAACUUUGAGUUUUACAGGAAAAA